UACGAAGGGGGCUAGCGUUGCUCGGAAUCACUGGGCGUAAAGCGCACGUAGGCGGAUCUUUAAGUCAGGGGUGAAAUCCUGGAGCUCAACUCCAGAACUGCCUUUGAUACUGGGGAUCUCGAGUCCGGGGAGAGGUGAGUGGAACUCCGAGUGUAGAGGUGAAAUUCGUAGAUAUUCGGAAAGAACACCAGUGGCGAAGGCGGCUCACUGGCCCGAUACUGACGCUGAGGCACGAAAGCGUGGGGAGCAAACAGGGA
rnacentral:rRNA from 1 species